UACAGAGGGUGCGAGCGUUAAUCGGAAUUACUGGGCGUAAAGCGCGCGUAGGAGGCUUUGCAAGUCGGGUGUGAAAUCCCCAAGCUUAACUUGGGAACUGCAUUCGAGACUGCAUUGCUAGAGUAUGGGAGAGGGAAGUGGAAUUUCCGGUGUAGCGGUGAAAUGCGUAGAUAUCGGAAGGAACAUCAGUGGCGAAAGCGACUUCCUGGACCAAUACUGACGCUCAUGUGCGAAAGCGUGGGGAGCAAACAGG
rnacentral:rRNA from 1 species